rnacentral:rRNA from 1 species
CUGCACACAUGAUGGGUGCCCUGUCCGUAAGCAUGUCGAAAAAGCACCAGAUGACAUAAACAAUAUGGUAGUAACCUAUGAAGGUAAGCACAAUCAUGGUCAACCAUUUAGAAGCAGCAACGAAUCAAGGGAUGAAUCCGUCUCUGUGAUCACUCCAGCAAUGACAAUCACUGAGCAACCCAGUACAGUGUCUUCAACAUCGGGUCAGAAGCUUCCAACCAGCACAGAGAAGGCCGCUGACAGUGAGUCCACCAUGGACACAACUUUAGAACUUGGAGGUAAGAAGCCACCAGAGAGCGCACAAACCCCGCGCAGCAUGAAAAUUAAUCCAGACGGCCUGAAGAAUCCCCUCCUGAAAGAUACUUCUGCAGCAGUUCCUGUCCAAA